AGAACUUAGCAGAGAUGCUUUGGUGCCUUCGGGAACUCUGAGACAGGUGCUGCAUGGCUGUCGUCAGCUCGUGUUGUGAAAUGUUGGGUUAAGUCCCGCAACGAGCGCAACCCUUUAUCCUUUGUUGCCAGCGAUUCGGUCGGGAACUCAAAGGAGACUGCCAGUGAUAAACUGGAGGAAGGUGGGGAUGACGUCAAGUCAUCAUGGCCCUUACGAGUAGGGCUACACACGUGCUACAAUGGCGCAUACAAAGAGAAGCGACCUCGCGAGAGCAAGCGGACCUCAUAAAGUGCGUCGUAGUCCGGAUUGGAGUCUGCAACUCGACUCCAUGAAGUCGGAAUCGCUAGUAAUCGUAGAUCAGAAUGCUACGGUGAAUACGUUCCCGGGCCUUGUACACACCGCCCGUCACACCAUGGGAGUGGGUUGCAAAAGAAGUAGGUAGCUUAACUUUCGGGAGGGCGCUUACCACUUUGUGAUUCAUGACUGGGGUGAAGUCGUAACAAGGUAAGCGUAGUGCU
rnacentral:rRNA from 1 species